UACGGGGGGGGCAAGCGUUGUUCGGAAUUACUGGGCGUAAAGGGCUCGUAGGCGGCCGACUAAGUCAGACGUGAAAUCCCUCGGCUUAACCGGGGAACUGCGUCUGAUACUGGAUGGCUUGAGUGUGGGAGAGGGAUGCGGAAUUCCAGGUGUAGCGGUGAAAUGCGUAGAUAUCUGGAGGAACACCGGUGGCGAAGGCGGCUCUCUGGACCGAUACUGACGCUGAGGCGCGAAAGCGUGGGGAGCAAACAGG
rnacentral:rRNA from 1 species